CCCUUGUUUCAAUGUGUACUUUUUUUUAUAAGUUUCUUUCUUUGCUUGUAUAUUCGUAGAAAGGUGAUUGGUCUAGAUCAAAUCCAAGUUUUAAUUAUACCCUUUUGAAGAUUUGGUAUAACUAGAUUGAGGAAUUGCUUGUCAAUUAAGCAUAUGUGGAAGUAUGACAUUGAAAUUCUUAGUAUUGGCCUAAAUUAAUAUCAACUUGCAUAUCUUAUUCUAGUUUUGUUAUCAUUACUGCAGUUGCGUGAACUAACUUUGCAAGGUUGUCCCCUCCACAGUUUCUCAUUAUUGACU
rnacentral:lncRNA from 1 species